AGUGAACGCUGGCGGUAUGCUUUACACAUGCAAGUCGAACGGCAGCGCGGGCUUCGCCUUCUCGUACAGUUGCCGACGGGUGAAUGAGUCAUGGAUACGUGGCAAGCUAUUGUGGCUAGCGCGGCAACGGACGGAAUCAUACGCCAUUAGACCAGACGAUGUAAGCGUGGAAGCGGAGGAUCUUCCGACCUUGGAGCGGUCGAUGUCGGGUUAGCGAGUUGGUGGGGUAACGGCCUACCAAGGCGACGAUCCGUAGCUGGUCUGAGAGGACGACCAGCCACACUGGGACUGAGACACGGCCCAGACUCCUACGGGAGGCAGCAGUGGGGAAUUUUGGACAAUGGGGGCAACCCUGAUCCAGCCAUGCCGCGUGCGGGAAGAAGGCCUUCGGGUUGUAAACCCCUUUUGUUCGGGAAGAAAACCACUAGGCUAAUACCCCGGUGUUAUGACGGUACCGAAAGAAUAAGCACCGGCUAACUUCGUG
rnacentral:rRNA from 1 species